CAAAUGUUGGACGUGAAGGCCAGGAGGCUCCACCUACUUUUAUAAAAGGCAUCUGAUUGUCUGUCCAGGUGGAGGACGGCAUGCUGCGAUACGGGUCCAGAAGGAUCCGGAAACAGCGAACGAUCAGGAGGCCCAGGAAGAUGAAGAGGAUGAGGACAAAGACGAAAGCUGCCCUCUGCUCAACCGUGAGAAAAGGAGCGGUGGCCGAGGACGAAGAGGAAGAGGAGAGGUCGGAUUCGGAAACGGAGAAGGUGCUGCUGUAGAGGUCGUCAGCCAUCCUCAUCCAUAGGCUGGCAUCACCCUCAGCAGAGGACCGCUGCGCCCAGAAGAAUGAUCUGCAAAGAGCAUAAACGCGUCAUGAACACUUCACUCACACCUCAGUGAAACAAACUCAAUCAAAUAAUUUUACUGGAUUAUUUAAUUAAAAAAAAAAAACGUUUUAAAUAAUUGUUAGUUAAAUCAAUCGAUCAAUCAGUCACAAAAAAUAAAACUUUUGCUAUUCAAAUAUGCAUUAGGUGUAUAAAAAGGACAUUUACCAAAAAAAAAAAAAA